ACAAUGCACCGCUAACCGAAAACGAAAGUAGAUCGUUUCAAAAUUCCUGAAAAACCGUUGAAUAUGCUUUCAAUUUUAAUUCAUUUAAGCGUAACAAUGUUUAUAGAAGAUAACAUGCAUGCAACAGCAGCAGUAGCGAACCCAGGACUUGCAUAGGCUUCGCUUGAAUUGGAAAGCUCGACUGGCCAAAACUCAGACUGUGUACAGGCAGACUUCUAUCGGAUUUGCAUGUCCAUCAAUGCCAAUAAAGUGUAAGCAAAACACCAAAACUGAUUUCUGAAGGAGCAACAAGACCAGUGCCCCUGGGGGAGGAAUGUCAACAGGAGAACACCAUUGGUUUCUACCUUGAGUCUUGGUUUGAAUACAUUGUUGACCAUUUGGAUUGGACAGACCUGCUGCAAUAUGAAUACUUCGAUAUAGCAAAGAUACAGGGACAAGCUGAGUAACAAAUACACUUGGACUUGGCUUUACCCAAUGUACCAAGAACACAGACAGACAGACCACACAUGCAACAACAUAUUUUGAUCAGUAAACAUUUGGGUCACCAAGAUAAAACCCGUCAGUUAAACAGGUUUUUGUUGGACGUUUGCGAAUUUAGGAACCUCUUUUCAUUUCAGACUUUCUAAGGAAAAUGGGAGGUUUGGCGUUUAGGCGGGUACACAUAUUUCUUUAAUUUAAAACUUGUCGAGCAAGUACACAACGUUAAUUGUUGUUUUUUGUUCCGGGGUUUCUUUCAAUGUGAAAGGAAAAAUUUAACAUUUAAAGGUGCUUCCAAAUCGAUAUCAAUUAGAACGAUUUCACGUUCACCCAUUACACGUCCAAGAAGGUAGGUCAGCAUCAAUAUGGAUUUGCAUACCUUAUUUAUGAUAUUUUUUGACAAUAUUUAAGCUCAAAUAUGCUGAACUCUAGUUAAAAGGUGUCGCCUCUGCAUUAGCACAAUUCUACAGCUGUUGUCGUUUAAAAACAAGCUUUAUAUCUUGACUAUUCUAAGUAAAUGGCAGCUUUACUCCUCACCCAGACAGCGGCCUCACACCUUGGUUAAGUUAUGCAUGUUAGCACAUUUGAGUCAAUUUCUCACCACAUAAAUCAGGUAUUGCAUUGAAACUUGAGACCCAUUAUUCCAUUCAUCCCACCUACUGAAUUGAUCAAGUAAGAUAGAUUUAUCAUUCCUAUAAUGAAAACUAUGGCCCUUUAUUAUUUGACUGAGCAAUUCUUGUUUAGGUUUUGCAUAUAAGCACAAAUAAGUCAAUAUCUCAGCAACUUCAUGACGUAUUACAUUGGAACUUCAUAAAACGUUUUUCAAACAUCCAAACUACUUAUUCAUUCAGGUAAGAUUACUCUUAUCUUUGUAUAAUGUAAAUUAUUGCCCAUUAUCAUUUGACUUUGAACUUCUGGCUUUGCCUUUGUCUUACGUAGUCAAAUAAAUAGUUCUACUUUGAAAAAUGCCAAUUAUGGUCCUCUUAUUCGACUCAGAAAUGUUUAGGUCAGGUGUUUCAUGUAAGCUUGUACAAGUCAAUAUCUCAGUAACUAUUUGAUAUAUUGUAUAAAAACUUAAACUGUACA